GUGAGUGUAGCUCAAUUGGUAGAGCGCCGGACUGUGGCUCCGGAGGUCGCGGGUUCAAUCCCCGUCACUCACCCCA
rnacentral:tRNA from 1 species